AACGAACGCUGGCGGCAUGCCUAACACAUGCAAGUCGAACGAGACCUUCGGGGCUAGUGGCGAACGGGUGCGUAACGCGUGGGAACCUGCCCUUAGGUUCGGAAUAACUCCCCGAAAGGGGUGCUAAUACCGGAUAAUGUCUUCGGACCAAAGAUUUAUCGCCUUUGGAUGGGCCCGCGUUGGAUUAGCUAGUUGGUAGGGUAAAAGCCUACCAAGGCGACGAUCCAUAGCUGGUCUGAGAGGAUGAUCAGCCACACUGGGACUGAGACACGGCCCAGACUCCUACGGGAGGCAGCAGUGGGGAAUAUUGGACAAUGGGCGAAAGCCUGAUCCAGCAAUGCCGCGUGAGUGAUGAAGGCCUUAGGGUUGUAAAGCUCUUUUACCCGGGAUGAUAAUGACAGUACCGGGAGAAUAAGCUCCGGCUAACUCCGUG
rnacentral:rRNA from 1 species